GGCACGAUUGCUGAUUAAACCAUGUUAAAUGUACCAGUUCACAGAUUCAGUUUCUUCAAGGAUUCAGGAAUCACAUGUUGAAUGUUGUUAGAGGGUUCUCAAUAUCAAAUUAAAAUGGAUUGUUCAUACAUUCAUGCUUUGCUCACUGCCAAUCUGAGAGACCAGACACAUGGUUUGUUGACAACUCUCCUGUCAUUGGAAACAAGGCAAUUGCUCUGGCCGUGGGAGACUGGUAUUUUGACCGAGCUGGUGUUAAGGACAUAGAUUGUCCUUACCCUUGUGAGAACACAUGCCACCAUUAGUAUAAUAACCUAAAAGAUGAUGUUGGAGCAGCAGAGGAACAACAAAAAGAAGCUGAAGUCGAACCAAAGGCUCUUCGAACAUUGACAUGGAGAAUGAUUUUGACCCAAGAAUAAAUGGUCUGUAUUUUUUUAAUGUCUCAAUUAUAUUUUUAUAUCUUUAUAGCUUACAAAGAUAUGAGAAGCAUAUUUUGCACUUGUCUGUUCAUCUAUUACCACUUUCAAAUGAGUGCAUAUAAUU